GGGGAUGUAGCUCAGUGGUAGAGCGCUUGCUUUGCAUGUAAGCGGUCCUGGGUUCAAUCCCCAGCAUCUCCA
rnacentral:tRNA from 1 species